AUUUUCACAGAUUGUUCUUAGGGAUUCCCAUCCUGUGCAGCUACAAAGCUGCAUGUGUGGCAGGUACAGCUUUGUGUAACCAUCUGGCAGCACUUCUGUACCAGACUGCACAUUAUUCCCAGCUGAAGAUCACCUCUGUUCCUCCAACACACAGCUGCACAGAGACUGAACAGAAGUGGCAUAAGCCAAGAACCAUGGUAUAUUUAUAGGUAUUUAUGUUUACUGAAAACUUUUUCUUGUUAAAAUGCAGGGAAUUAAACCUGGUCCAGUAAAUGACAUGGUGAUUCUUUCAGCCAGACCUAAGGAACGAAGAUUGGUAGAAGGCAUCAGGAGCAACUUGUAUAAGGGAGUCAGUUCACCCGUGCCUGAACUUUCCACACUCAGGGUGGAUGAAGUUUACCAUGACCUUCCCAGUGACGUGGCCCCACUGAUAACAACAAUGGCUAUAGCCAAUAAUGUACCUCUGGUUGACUCUGUGUUCGGAAAAGUGCAAGAAGGAAGUGUGUACUCGUAUCAUUGCCAGCAAAGAAAAUGCCAAAAACAUGUCCACAAACAGAUGCCCCUUUUCCCCCUCAGUUGCCACUUCAUAAUUACAGGCUGGGACCUGCUACCUGUUCUUUUGUCUGCACUGAACAUCAGCAGCUCCACAUGAUGUCCCUUGCAACAACAUUAGAGACAGCACACAAAAUUGAGAACAGUACAAAAGAGCAGAGUUCCUGCAUUGAGUGGCACCAACUAAGGCAGCCCCACAUUACCACCUCCAAAAUCAGAGAUGUCUGUCACACCAGGGGACGGAGCUCUACAGAAAAUCUUGCAAGUCAUCAGACUGCAGACAUGAGGAGGGGACUUGACUUGGAACCAGCAGCUGUGGAGGAGUACUGCACUGAAGGAGGUAAACCACUAUCCCUGUGGGUUCCUGAUCCACCCUGAUGCACCCUGAAUGGGAUCAUCACUGGAUGGUAUUGUGUACGAUCCAAAGGGCGAGCCAGUGUUUGGCCUUGUUGAAAUUAAAUGCCCAAAUGUGGCAGGUUUUGUUGACUGUCCAUAUAUUAAGAUCAGUGAAGACGCACACACUCUUAGGAAAUCACAUCCGUACUUUUGGCAGAUUCCAGGGACAGAUGUUGAUUUCUGGAUUUGACUGGUGUGACUUUGUUGUGUAUACACACACUGACAUAUACAUCCAGAGGAUUCCCAGAGACGAGAAAAUCAUCAAAAAAAUGAAAGAAAGACUCUUUCUUCUUUUAUUUUUACCUCUGUGCUUCCCUAGAUAGUUAGAUUGUGACAGGACUGCACCAUCACCCUACUGUCCUGCUAUUCCUGCUAUCCAAAAAGUGCAUUCUAGGUCACUGUUGGUCAGGGUUUGUACAAAGUCUUAUUUUUGAAAAGGUAGGUCCUGUUUUUCCCUGAAAUUUCUUUUACAUUUGAUAGUUUUUUGUUUUUAGGUACCUUGAAAGCAAUUGAAUAUUUCUCAUUAAAAGCUGCACAAACCCCUUUG